rnacentral:siRNA from 1 species
ACUGCUCGCUAUUGCAUAUGCAAA